UUAAAUGAAUUAAUGAAUAUUCUGCACUGCCAUUGAUUCAGCCAGUCUGUACUAACAAAUGUGUGUCUAUAGUGAGCAUGAGACCCUGAUCUACUGGUACCUGGUGGCAGUUAUUUUGCUACUGGUCAUACUGGUCAUCAUCGUCUGCGUGCUAAGAAGGAAGUACACAGAGAAUCAAGUCAGGACCAGAGACAGGAGCAAUGACAGCACAGUUCACACAGCUGAGAGUGAGGGAUCAUACAGCUCAAUUGCUUUCAAGUCAAGAAAGAAGAAAUCAGAACAAAGGAACCUGGAGCAG